rnacentral:rRNA from 13 species
UCAGAACGUCGCGAGACAGUUCGGUCCCUAUCUGCCGUGGGUGUAGGAGAAUUGAGAGGAUCUGUCCCUAGUACGAGAGGACCGGGAUGGACGUACCUCUGGUGGACCUGUUGUGGCGCCAGCCGCAUUGCAGGGUAGCUAUGUACGGACGGGAUAACCGCUGAAAGCAUCUAAGCGGGAAACCCACCUCGAAACAAGGCUUCGCUGAGAGCCGUGGUAGACCACCACGUUGAUAGGCCAGGUGUGGAAGCGGGGCGACCCGCGAAGCUUACUGGUA